ensembl:lncRNA
GCUGAAUAAUUAUUUUAUUGUAUGGUCAGCAGUACGGUGUACAUUUUAGGACAUCGUCAGGUAUCAGAAAAAAAAUUGUCAGGUGUCAGUUGUCAAAAAAAAAAAAAGUCAGGUAUCAGAAAAAAAAUUGUCAGGUGUCAGAAAAAAAAUUGUCAGGUGUCAGUUGUCAAAAAAAAAAAAGUCAGGUAUCAGAAAAAAAAUUGUCAGGUGUCAGAAAAAAAGUUGUCAGGUGUCAGAAAAAAAAUUGUCAGGUGUCAGACAAAAAAUUGUCAGGUGUCAGAAAAAAAGUUGUCAGGUGUCAGAAAAAAAAUUGUCAGGUGUCAGAAAAAAAGUUGUCAGGUGUCAGAAAAAAAUUUUUCUGGCAUAUUCAUAUAAAGGAUUUUUUUUUUUAAAGUAAGAAGCCUUACAUUGUUUCUUUAAUAGUCCAAUUUUUCUUUAAUAUGUUGGUUCUUGCACACCUACAAAAUUCCCAAACAUGUUGUAAGUUUAGGCUUUACAAACUGAAAGUUUCUAUUAUUUUAUUAGUCUGUACCACUUGCUUAAGUGGAAUGGGGAUUAAAAAAUGCACAGGACUAUAAAACCGGGUUGGAUCAUUAACCAAUCUGUUAAUUUUAAUGUUGGGUAUAAUAAACAAUCUCAGAAUAAAUCUGCAGUGAUUGGGUGAUCUGGGUGCUAAAAGCUUUGAGGUUUUUUUUUUUCCCCAAUUAUGAGCUGUGGUCUUUGGAAUGACAUUUUUGAUAACAUUUGUGAAAUUUUAGACAACCUGGUAAGUUCUCAUAUGUAUACCUUAUAGGUUCACCACCCUUCUAAGAAGGCAGUCCUGACAGACUGGGGCAUGGCAAACAUAAGAGACACUGUGAUGCUUCGUCAAGGGAGUAAGUUCACUGCCCAGGCUACUGGUCCAGCUGGUGGCACAUAUCUUUACAUGGCCCCUGAAUGCAUACUGAUGUUUGAAGAGGCCACAUGUCUGGAACAGACAGACAUGUGGUCCCUCGGAGCCACAUAUCUGGAGAUCCUGACGGAUUCCGCUCCGUGGAUGGUUAAAAAACAAAGAGAACUGGCUGCACUAAUGGCCACCAAAACCCCACCACAUGCCCUAUCACAUCUCAGUGACAAAAACAGUUUUCUUGGUGGUUUGGUGAGCUAUGACCCAGACUCAAGGCCUUCCGCAUCUGAUGUUGUUAAGUUUCUCAAGUCAGGCCUUG